AGGCAAGACAUCUCCAGACAUCUUCCAAAUGGACUGAGAGCUGUUGUUGCUUCUUCUGAUCUCCUGAGCCACUUCCAAUCCAGAUGGGAAACAGAAGAACAUGGAGAUUUUGCAAUUUGAGCUGAGCCAGGCAG